AGACGGAGUCUUGCUCUGUCACCCAGGCUGGAGUGCAGUGGUGCAAUAUCGGCUUGCUGCAACCUCCGACUCCCAGAUUCAAGCCAUUCUCCUGCCUUAGCCUCCGGAGUAGCUGGAAUUCAGUCAUGUGCCACCCUGCCCAGAGCAAGAUGAAUGCUGAAAGCGAGAUGAGAGCCCUGAUGAGCCAUUUCCCUUCAGAAUCCAUCUCAAGACAAAGAGGAGGCCUCUAAGGAAGAAGGGACCCGGGGUGUGCUGGAAACUGAAGAUCACUUCCACAAACUGUUCCCAAAAGGAAUUACCAUGCAGCCAUUGGCCCAUUCAAAAAAUAAAAAUAAAAAGGUUAUGAAGAUUAAGCCAAUAAGUCUGAGAGGAAGAUAAAAAUCACAGGGGAUGUGUGCAAUGGCUCACACCUUUAAUCCUAAGACUUUGGGAGGUCAAGGUAGGUGGAUGGCUUGAGCCUAGGGAUUCGAGACCAGCCUGGGCAACAUAGUGAGACCCCAUUUCUACAAAAAAUACAAAAAAAAAAGCCAGGUGUGGUGGCAUACACCUGUGGUCCCAGCUACUUGAGAGGCUGAAGUGGGAGGAUUGCUUAAGCCCAGGAGGUCGAGGCUGCAGUGAGCUACGUACGAUCUCACCACU
rnacentral:lncRNA from 10 species